UCUUGACAUCCAGAGAACUUGGCAGAGAUGCCUUGGUGCCUUCGGGAACUCUGAGACAGGUGCUGCAUGGCUGUCGUCAGCUCGUGUUGUGAAAUGUUGGGUUAAGUCCCGCAACGAGCGCAACCCCCUAUCCUUUGUUGCCAGCGAUUCGGUCGGGAACUCAAAGGAGACUGCCGGUGAUAAACCGGAGGAAGGUGGGGAUGACGUCAAGUCAUCAUGGCCCUUACGAGUAGGGCUACACACGUGCUACAAUGGCGUAUACAAAGAGAAGCGACCUCGCGAGAGCAAGCGGACCUCAUAAAGUACGUCGUAGUCCGGAUUGGAGUCUGCAACUCGACUCCAUGAAGUCGGAAUCGCUAGUAAUCGUAGAUCAGAAUGCUACGGUGAAUACGUUCCCGGGCCUUGUACACACCGCCCGUCACACCAUGGGAGUGGGUUGCAAAAGAAGUAGAUAGCUUAACCUUCGGGAGGGCGUUUACCACUUUGUGAUUCAUGACUGGGGUGAAGUCGUAACAAGGUAGGCGUACGUGU
rnacentral:rRNA from 1 species